rnacentral:ncRNA from 1 species
CGACCUGAGCUCAGGCAAGGUUACCCGCUGAACUUAAGCAUAUCAUUAAGCGGUGGAAAAGAAACUAACCAGGAUUCCCCUAGUAACGGCGAGCGAACCGGGAAUAGCCCAACUUGAAAAUCUCCCCUUGGAGAAUUGUAGUCUACAGAAGCGCCCUCAUGGGCUGGCGGAACUCAAGUCGGAUCGAAUGCCGCGUCAGAGAGGGUGAUAACCCCGUCGGUUCCUGCCUAGUCCUCUCACGAGGUGCUUCCCACGAGUCGGGUGUUGGANNNNNNNNNNNNNNNNNNNNNNNNNNNNNNNNNNNNNNNNNNNNNNNNNNGAGUUAAAAGUGCUUGAAAUUGUUGAGAGGGAAGCGAUUAGCGCUUGUGUGUGCCCCAGGCUUAAGUGUGCCUAACGGCCCAUUGAAUGUGCUGGGUGCUGGUCAGAGUGGGUUGUCUUGGCGGGAAAACAGUUGGGUCCACCCCGGUAACCCGGCCGAUGCCGCCGAGAUGACCAAGGCGUGAAGGUUGCUUUGUCCUUCGGGAUCCGCAUCCUAAAGACUCUGGCAGAAAAGCGUUAAUCGACCCGUCUUGAAACACGGACCAAGGAGUCUAACAUGUAUGCGAGUUGGCGGGUUGAAAACCCGUAAGCGCAAGUAACCUGACUGGUGGGAUGGCCUGUGCCUGCACCAUCGACCGACCAUGUUGCUUUUGCGAAAGGUUUGAGUGCGAGCAUACCUGUUGGGACCCGAAAGAUGGUGAACUAUGCCUGAGCAGGGUGAAGCCAGAGUAACCUCUGGUGGAGGCUCGUAGAUGUGCUGACGUGCAAAUCGCUUUUCAGACUUGGGUAUAGGGGCGAAAGACUAAUCGAACCAUCUAGUAGCUGGUUCCCUCCGAAGUUUCCCCCAGGAUAGCUGGAGCUUGAUCAGUUUUAUCGGGUAAAGCGAAUGAUUAGAGGUUCGGGGGAUGAAACAUCCUUCACCUAUUCUCAAACUUUAAAUAGGUAAGACGUGUCGGUUGCUUAACUGAACCGUCACAUUCAAUGUGAGCUCCAAGUGGGCCAUUUUUGGUAAGCAGAACUGGCGAUGCGGGAUGAACCGAUAGUCGAGUUAAGGUGCCAAACUGCGCGCUAACCUAGAUCCCACAAAGGGUGUUGAUUGAUAUAAACACCAGGACGGUGGUCAUGNGAAGUCGAAAUCCGCUAAGGAGUGGU